rnacentral:rRNA from 1 species
GACGAACGCUGGCGGCGUGCCUAAUACAUGCAAGUUGAGCGAUGAAGAUUGGUGCUUGCACCAAUUUGAAGAGCAGCGAACGGGUGAGUAACGCGUGGGGAAUCUGCCUUUGAGCGGGGGACAACAUUUGGAAACGAAUGCUAAUACCGCAUAACAACUUUAAAAAUAAGUUUUAAGUUUGAAAGAUGCAAUUGCAUCACUCAAAGAUGAUCCCGCGUUGUAUUAGCUAGUUGGUGAGGUAAAGGCUCACCAAGGCGACGAUACAUAGCCGACCUGAGAGGGUGGUCGGCCUCCCUGGCAUUGCGACGCGGCCCCCUCUCCUGCGGGAGGCAGCAGUAGGGACUCUUCGGCAAUGGACGCAAGUCUUACCGAGCAACGCCGCGUGAGUGAAGAAGGUUUUCGGAUCGUAAAACUCUGUUGUUAGCGAAGAACGUUGGUGAGAGUGGAAAGCUCAUCAAGUGACGGUAACUACCCAGAAAGGGACGGCUAACUACGUG